GCACCAACACACUCAUCACACAUCCUCUUCUACCCUCUCAGCAUCGACACACACUCACCACCACACAUCCACUCCUACCCUCUCAUUCAGCACCAACACACACUCAUCACACACACACCUCUACUUUCCCCAUCAGAACCAUUGGAGGAGGAGGAGGCGGCUUCAGUAAGUAGGCUCUUCUGAGCUCACUUCCGCUCGCUCAGAGCGUCUCAGUCGAUCCGCCCGUCGCUGCUCCCGUUCUUCCAUUUGCAGCGCGUCGCUCCACGGAGAGGAUCCGCUCCCAGCCCUCGGGACCCGCAUGCGAAGCGCACACCGCCCGCCGGAUAAGCACUGUCUAGUAACGCAACUGGACUACUUUUUUCUGUUUACAUUCGUUGUUGUUUUUAAGAUUUUGUUUUUGCACGAAACAUCGGGACAGAAACUGAUUCUAACUACAAAAUGGAGAACGACGGCAAAUAUCUCCCGGAGCUGCUGGCCGAGAAGGACAGCCUGGACGCGUCCUUUACGCACGCCAUGAAACUUUUAACCGCAGAGAUUGACAGAGUCCAGAAAGACGAGCCUAAAAAGGAAGGAGGAGAGGCGUACCUGGACCUUUUCACAACCAAGAACAUCAAACUCAAGGAGCGAGUGCUGAUCCCCGUCCAGCAGUAUCCCAAGUUCAACUUUGUGGGGAAGAUCCUGGGGCCGCAGGGGAACACCAUCAAGAGGCUGCAGGAGGAGACGGGAGCCAAGAUCUCCGUGCUGGGCAAGGGCUCCAUGAGGGACAAGGCCAAGGAGGAGGGCAUGAGGAAAGGUGGGGAGCCAAAGUACGCCCAUCUGUCCAUGGAGCUGCACGUCUUCAUCGAGGUUUUCGCGCCCGUCCCCGACGCCUACCUACGCAUGGCCCACGCCAUGGAGGAAGUCAAGAAGUUCCUCUUCCCUGACAUGAUGGACGAUAUCUGUCAGGAGCAGUUCCUGGAGAUGGGUUACCUGAACGGGGGCCAGGAGCACGGGGCCCGGGGCCGAGGGGGCCCCCCUCUCAGGAGCCGGGGCGGCCCCCCCAACGGAGCACCCAGGGGGAGGGGCAUGCCUCCCCGCGGCGGCGCCACCAGGGGCCCGGUGGCCCGCGGGGGCCCGGCCAGGGGCACCGCGGUCAGGGGAGCUUCAGCGGGCAGAGGCGGGCCCCCGGCGGCGCCCUCCAGGGGGGCGGCCGCGCCCCGAGCCAGGCCCCCCGCGGCCGGGCCCCCGCAGAGGAUGGCCCCGCCGCCCCCGCACCAGCACGCCCCCGCAACGGCCGAGGCCUACGAUGAAUACGCCUACGAUGAGAGCUACACGGAGCCGGCCUACGAGUCGUAUGACAGCUACUACAGCCAGCCGCAGGCGGAGCCAGAGUAUUACGACUACGGACAUGGGGAGACAACGGAGACGUAUGAGUCCUACGGUCAGGACGACUGGAACGGCACCCAGCGCGCGGCCCCUGGGAAGGCCCCCCCCCCCCCUAGGGCUGCCAAGGCGCCGUACCGGGAGCACCCGUACCGACAGUACUGAGGCCGGACUCUGGCCCCGCCCACCGUAAACAGCGUUGCCCCUCCCCCUUUCCCAUAAGCCACCUCACCUCCUGACUGUCCACGAGGCAGCUGUCGCCUUUAAGCAGCUUCGACAAAAGCCGUUGCCCGUGGGUUGCCAUGGUAGCCACCGCCGGCCAAGGCUGGGUUGGUCUGCAUAGUGACAGGAGACGCGGGUCAGGAAGAAGUUUCCUAGAGGUUGCAAGAUGACUUCAGGAGAAGCUUCUGGCGGAGACAAGAGAACGGACUGAGGUUCCGAGAGGUCAGCAGAGAGGCCCGCAGAACCCAGGGGCCCACAGAACCCAGGGGUGGGGCAAAGGGGCCUCAGCGUAGCUACAAUGGAAAGGCCUCCGCUGUGGGGAUCCAUUGGAUCGGAGCAAAGGACUCUCAGAGCGGGACAACGGCACGACUGUUGGAAGAACGGCUGCGUCCGGAUUCAAAGCAGACAAUCGUCUAUUUUUGCGAAAAAUGUAUUCAUACUUUUUUUAGUACGUAUUUAUUUUAUUUUUCUUGGUUUGGAAAUAACGUUCAUGGACCCCCCCCCCCCCUACUGGCCCCCUCGUUAAUGAAUCUAAUUGGGUAACACUUUAUAAUAAGGUGCCAUAAUAAAUAGCAAACUACUCAUUACCUAACCCUUUGUUAAUAUUGGUUAAUUGUUACUAAAAUAUCUAUUUAGCACAAGUUGAUAGUUUUUUCAUCAUUAAUUAAAUAUUAGUUAAUUGCAUAACCCUAACCCAACCCUAACACACGGCCCUAACCAUAACACACGGCCCUAACCCUAACCAGCGACACUCUGGUCAGUGAAAAAAAAUGAUAAACAAUUAUCAAAUAUUAACAAAGGGUUAGGUAAUGAGUAGUUUGCUAUUUAUUAUGGCACCUUAUUAUAAAGUGAUAACUCAAAUUGUUCUGCUCUUAUUUUAGCAUAUAAUGAACAUGCCUUUUACAGCAGGCUGUGAAAUUGUUAUUUAAUUUUCACUUAACCUUUAGAAAAGAUGGAAAAAGAGUUUUCCUUUUUCUUCUUUCUAAGUGCUUUUUUUUGCAAGCGAAGCUGUAUUCUUAUAAGUGCUCCAUUCAGCCCAAGUGAACUGUGUCUCAUGUUCGCCCAUCUUUAUAAAUAUUCACACGGUGUGCCGUAUCCUGGCCUUGCUUGCCACGCAAAACGGGCCAAGUUUGGAGACAAAAAGGUGCCCGGAGACACACUCAGCAGUGCGUCAGCCACACACACACACACAGCCCUCUCCUGAUUAUACCUGUGUGUACUUCAAUCGUUCUGCAUUCUUGUGUUAUUGUUGAGGAUUAGAACAAGUCUUUUGAUUGGUUGCUGUGCUUUAAAGAUGCUUUAUUGGUGCAGCAGCUCUGUCCCCCUGCAGCCUGGAGGCUGCGAGGUCGACCUUAUGGCUCCAUCGACCCUAUUGAAGAGGCCCUAGUGAGACGAGGUUGGGACCGUGGGCCCAGAUGCAUAGUUUAUGGGGGUUUACUCCAGCACACAUCAGCGGUCUGCUUUUUAAUGGCGCCGGUGUUUCACCAUUAAAGAUAAAAAUGACGUAAUUUACGAUAUAAUCCCGGUUCAUAAAUGUCCCACUGAAUAUUUUUUCUUUGUGAUCAAUUGUUGGUCAGGGGAAUAUGGCCGUCGGCACACAAAGGUUCUCCUCUGCAUAAUAAAGUUGCACUUGAGCAAGC